CACGUAGGGCGCAAGCGUUGUCCGGAAUUAUUGGGCGUAAAGAGCUCGUAGGCGGUCUGUUACGUCUGCUGUGAAAACCCAGGGCUUAACCCUUGGCUUGCAGUGGAUACGGACAGACUAGAGGUAGGUAGGGGAGAAUGGAAUUCCCGGUGUAGCGGUGAAAUGCGCAGAUAUCGGGAGGAACACCAGUGGCGAAGGCGACACGCUGGGCCGUACCUGACACUGAUGCGCGACAGCAUGGGGAGCAAACAGG
rnacentral:rRNA from 1 species